rnacentral:rRNA from 1 species
GGACUACACGGGUAUCUAAUCCUGUUUGCUCCCCACGCUUUCGCACCUCAGCGUCAGUAUCAGUCCAGCGAGUCGCCUUCGCCACUGGUGUUCCACCGAAUAUCUACGAAUUUCACCUCUACACUCGGUAUUCCACUCGCCUCUCCUGACCUCAAGGCCUGCAGUCUAGAAGGCAGUUCCAGGGUUGAGCCCUGGGAUUUCACCCCCUACUUACAGACCCGCCUACGUGCGCUUUACGCCCAGUAAUUCCGAACAACGCUAGCCCCCUUCGUAUUACCGCGGCUGCUGGCAC